CAAACACACACACACACACACAAGUCUCAAUUUUCCCUGGGGAAAAAAGCCCAUUCUGACCAACUCUAGUGCUGAAUCUUCAACCUUAGAGUUAAUGGGAACAGCAGGUACCACGUGCCACUGAACAUCAGAACCCUUCUGUAGCCACUCCCCAUCCCCUACCCUCCAAAAAGACCUUUUCUACCAUCACCAGACUCAAGCCCCAUGACUCUCCCCCUCCAGUUUUCUCUGUGGCUCUUCCAGUUCCUGCUCGAGUGCCAUGUACCAUGGCCUCAGUUUGUUAUUAGCCUGCAUUCACACGGCUGCUUUAAAUAAAAAAUAAAUAAAUAAAUAAAAAAAAUCAAGCCAAUGGCUCCCUUUUUGGUGAGUGCACAACAACAAAACACAAGUUUAACGUGUCACAUGCCUCACAAAGUCCACUGGGGACAACAGCACUGAUCUCCUACAAAAGCCCAUAGACAGCCUGAGGUUCCCAAAAGCAUCAGCAAUAUUUGCAGGCCAGUCAACAGUUUGCUCUGCUCUCCCUGAACUUUGCAGGAAUGCAAGAGAUUUCACACCCUGUACAUCUGAUUAGUAAGGAAUGGAUGAGACUAAGGACAAGUGAACAUCAGGCUAGAGUGGAAUAUCCCAGCUGGUCUCAUUAUGGUGACUUAGAGAACCUAUUGCAAACAAUCCGUACAUCCAGAAGGAGCAGUGGCUACACAGUGCAGAUU